CUCACUCAGGAAAUUCACCCCCUCCCCUAACUUGGGCAAGAGUGGAAGUUCCAUCCACUCAUUAUCCAGCAGUUGGACCAAUUUGAACACAUCUGGGGGUGUUACACUUCCAGACUCUGGCCAACAUGAAGGAGACCAUGACAACUGACAGGGAACCGCCAGCACUGGAAACCGCAGACUAGGCUGGAAAGAUGAUUAAAUAUCUGCCAUUUUCAAAGGUCAAAGGUGCGAGACUCUGGCAUGUCUGUGAUUAGUUCCACUUACCUUCAAAAAUCAAAGACUUAUCUUGUUUGUAUUAGUCAGGGUUCUCCAGAGAAACAGAACCAAUAAGAUGGAGAAAGAGAGAAAGAGAGAGAUUUAUUUUAAAGAACUGGCUCAUGUGAUUUUGGAGACUGGACUGGGACUGAUGGCUUUAUAACAAGAGGAAGAGAGAUGAGCCGGCACACUCAGCCUCCCCACCAUGGAUGCCCUGCACCACCUUGGGACUCUGCAGGGAGUUUCCACCAGCAAGAAGGCCCUCACCAGAUGCAGCACCUCAACCUUGGACUUCCCAGCCUCGAGC
rnacentral:lncRNA from 10 species